CGCGGUGCCUUCCGAGUUCCCUGGAACGGGACGCCAUAGAGGGUGAGAGCCCCGUACGGUUGGACACCAAGCCUUUGUAAAGCUCCUUCGACGAGUCGAGUAGUUUGGGAAUGCUGCUCAAAAUGGGAGGUAUAUUUCUUCUAAAGCUAAAUAUUGGCCAGAGACCGAUAGCGCACAAGUAGAGUGAUCGAAAGAUGAAAAGCACUUUGAAAAGAGGGUUAAACAGCACGUGAAAUUGUUAAAAGGGAAGCGCUUAUGACCAGACUUGCGCCCGGUGAAUCACCCAGCUCUCGCGGCUGGGGCACUUUGCCGGCUCAGGCCAGCAUCAGCUCGCUGUCGGGGACAAAAGCUUCGGGAACGUAGCUCUCUUCGGGGAGUGUUAUAGCCCGUUGCACAAUACCCUUCGGCGGGCUGAGGUACGCG
rnacentral:rRNA from 1 species